CACAGUGACUUUCUUCUAUUGGCUCAGGCAGUCAUGAACAAACAUGAUCUGAAGGGCCAGCAGAGGAGCUCAGGUAAAUGUAAGGAUGCAGUUCGUGAUACCAGAGUUUUUAUGGAUGGCAAUACAGUGUGGGGUACCUUCCCUGAAGGUUUCCUGCAAACAGCAAAUGUCAUCCACCUUAGAUGGAGUGGCUGGAGAUCAGAGGGUAACUGGGCCUACCAAGGAUUGCCCAAGACUGACAUCGAGUAGCUGCAUUGUGAUUGUGGUUCUCCAGCUUAUAGAUAAAGUCACCAAAAUGGUUGCCCUGCAUAUAAUUGAUACUCUGUUGAGUAUCAGUGCCCUUUGGACAGAUCAUCUCUGAAAAUACCAGACUAGAGCUCCUGCUCUGGCUAGUCAUGUGUUGGUGUUCAUCACCCAUGGUUGCUCCCCUCUGAAACAUCAUCCAAAGCAAGCAGAUGACUCAAGGCUGGAGGAGUUAUAGAACGACCUCACAGAGCAUGCAGGACUACUCUUUCCUCACCUGCUCAGUCUACUCACUUGAGUCUGACUCACAGAGCCAGAAGGAUGGAAAAUCCUUCAUCAACUUUGUUAUCUCCUACUAUUGGAAACUUCACCAUACUACUUUUGAGAAGACAUGGGAAGAUUUAGCAGCUUAUAAUUUAUAAUCCAGCCCUCAAAAUACCGGGAAAGUCUGCACAGAACAAAAAGCUGGCCUUCCCCCAAGUUAGAGUGCAUUCUCCUGCCUCAUGGCCUUCAAAUUGGACAUCUGCUCUUCCUGGUUCUAUAGCAGCCUGCCAUUCUUCAGACUCCAAUUGGGACAUGGACUCUGCAGAUUUUGGUCUUGCAACCAAUUGUUUAUAAUAAAUCUCUUUAUAUAUUUUA